GAGCGAACCCCACGAAAUAAACGUCUCAGUUCGGAUUGCAGGCUGCAACCCGCCCUGCAUGAAGCCGGAAUCGCUAGUAAUCGCGGAUCAGAAUGCCGCGGUGAAUACGUUCCCGGGUCUUGUACACACCGCCCGUCACACCAUGGGAGUCGGGAAUGCCCGAAGCCAGUGACCCAAGCGAAAGCAGGGAGCUGUCGAAGGCAGGCCGGAUAACUGGGGUGAAGUCGUAACAAGGUAGC
rnacentral:rRNA from 1 species